UACGUAGGGUGCAAGCGUUGUCCGGAAUUAUUGGGCGUAAAGAGCUCGUAGGCGGUUUGUCGCGUCUGCUGUGAAAACUCGGGGCUUAACUCCGGGCCGUGCAGUGGGUACGGGCAGACUAGAGUGCGGUAGGGGAGACUGGAAUUCCUGGUGUAGCGGUGAAAUGCGCAGAUAUCAGGAGGAACACCGGUGGCGAAGGCGGGUCUCUGGGCCGUAACUGACGCUGAGGAGCGAAAGCGUGGGGAGCGAACAGG
rnacentral:rRNA from 1 species